UGGGCAACCUGCCCUCAGCUCUGGGAUAAACCCCGGGAAACCGGGGCUAAUACCGGAUACGACCUCCUCGGGCAUCCGUGGAGGUGGAAAGGUUUUUCCGGCUGAGGAUGGGCCCGCGGCCUAUCAGCUAGUUGGUGGGGUGACGGCCUACCAAGGCGACGACGGGUAGCCGGCCUGAGAGGGCGACCGGCCACACUGGGACUGAGACACGGCCCAGACUCCUACGGGAGGCA
rnacentral:rRNA from 1 species